rnacentral:rRNA from 1 species
GGAUCAAUAUUUCGGUCAUGCCGUUGGUAUGCACUGUUAUCAUUGAUUUCUCACCUUCUAAAGAACCGUAAUGCCAUUAAUUUGGUGUUACGGGGAAUUAGGACUGUUACCUUGAAAAAAUUAGAGUGUUUAAAGCAGGCUCACGCUUGAAUACAUUAGCAUGGAAUAAUGAAAUAGGACAUCCGAUUCUAUUUUUGUUGGUUUCUAGGAUCGAUGUAAUGA